GGCUGGUCCAAGUGCAGUGGUGUUUACAACUAAUUGAUCACAACCAGUUACAGAUUUCUUUGUUCCUUCUCCACUCCCAUUGCUUCACUUGACUAGUUAAAA
rnacentral:Y_RNA from 1 species